rnacentral:ncRNA from 1 species
CCCUUGGAGCAUUAUAUCAAACAAGAGUAGUUAGUUGGCUUAGUUUAACGACAAAAUUGGGUGCGAUGAACAGGGAA